rnacentral:rRNA from 1 species
AUUGAACGCUGGCGGCAUGCCUUACACAUGCAAGUCGAACGGUAACAGGUCUUCGGAUGCUGACGAGUGGCGAACGGGUGAGUAAUACAUCGGAACGUGCCUAGUAGUGGGGGAUAACUACUCGAAGGAGUGGCUAAUACCGCAUGAGAUCUACUGAUGAAAGCAGGGGAUCGCAAGACCUUGUGCUACUAGAGCGGCCGAUGGCAGAUUAGGUAGUUGGUGGGAUAAAAGCUUACUAAGCCGACGAUCUGUAGCUAGUCUGAGAGGACGAUCAGCCACACUGGGACUGAGCAACGGCCCAGACUCCUACGGGAGGCGGCAGUGGGGAAUUUUGGACAAUGGGCGCAAGCCUGAUCCAGCAAUGCCGCGUGCAGGAUGAAGGCCUUCGGGUUGUAAACUGCUUUUGUACGGAACGAAAAGCCCUGGGUUAAUACCCUGGGGUCAUGACGGUACCGUAAGAAUAAGCACCGGCUAACUACGUGCCAGCAGCCGCGGUAACAC